CACGUAGGGUGCGAGCGUUGUCCGGAAUUAUUGGGCGUAAAGAGCUCGUAGGCGGUGUGUCGCGUCGGCCGUGAAAACCUGCAGCUUAACUGUGGGCUUGCGGUCGAUACGGGCAUCACUGGAGUUCGGCAGGGGAGACUGGAAUUCCUGGUGUAGCGGUGAAAUGCGCAGAUAUCAGGAGGAACACCGGUGGCGAAGGCGGGUCUCUGGGCCGAUACUGACGCUGAGGAGCGAGAGCGUGGGGAGCGAACGGG
rnacentral:rRNA from 1 species